rnacentral:tRNA from 1 species
GAAGGUAUAGCUCAAAGUGGUAGAGGGCAUGCUUAUCAUGCAUGAGGUCCUGAGUUCAACCCCCAGGACCUCCU